AAUGAACGCUGGCGGCAGGCCUAAAACAUGCAAGUCGAACGAGUAGCAAUACCAGUGGCGCACGGGUGAGGAAUACAUAGAUAAUCUGCCUUCGAGUCGGGGAUAACCAGUCGAAAGAUUGGCUAAUACCGGAUAAGACCACAGGAGCUGAGGCUCUAGGGGUUAAAGGUUUUUCGCUUGAAGAUGAGUCUAUGCGAGAUUAGCUAGUUGGUGAGGUAAUGGCUCACCAAGGCGACGAUCUCUAACUGGUCUUAGAGGAUGAUCAGUCACACUGGAACUGAGACACGGUCCAGACUCCUACGGGAGGCAGCAGUAGAGAAUAUUGCGCAAUGGGGGAAACCCUGACGCAGCGACGCCGCGUGAGUGAUGAAGGCCUUCGGGUCGUAAAGCUCUGUCGUAUGGAAAUAACACAAUGAAUGUACCAUGCAAGAAAGGAUCGGCUAACUUCGUGCCAGCAGCCGCCGUAACAC
rnacentral:rRNA from 1 species